UACAGGGGGGGUAAGCGUUGUUCGGAAUUACUGGGCGUAAAGGGUUUGUAGGUGGCUUGCUAAGUCGGACGUGAAAUCCCUCAGCUUAACUGGGGAACUGCGUCUGAUACUGGCGAGCUUGAGUGCAGGAGAGGAACGCGGAAUUCCAGGUGUAGCGGUGAAAUGCGUAGAUAUCUGGAGGAACACCGGUGGCGAAGGCGGCGUUCUGGACUGCAACUGACACUGAGAAACGAAAGCCAGGGGAGCAAACGGG
rnacentral:rRNA from 1 species